AUCGCUUCUCGGCCUUUUGGCUAAGAUCAAGUGUAGAUUUAUU
rnacentral:snRNA from 1 species